AUAAUGGGUCAGCGACUUAUAUUCUGUAGCAAGGUUAACCGAAUAGGGGAGCCGAAGGGAAACCGAGUCUUAACUGGGCGUUAAGUUGCAGGGUAUAGACCCGAAACCCGGUGAUCUAGCCAUGGGCAGGUUGAAGGUUGGGUAACACUAACUGGAGGACCGAACCGACUAAUGUUGAAAAAUUAGCGGAUGACUUGUGGCUGGGGGUGAAAGGCCAAUCAAACCGGGAGAUAGCUGGUUCUCCCCGAAAGCUAUUUAGGUAGCGCCUCGUGAAUUCAUCUCCGGGGGUAGAGCACUGUUUCGGCAAGGGGGUCAUCCCGACUUACCAACCCGAUGCAAACUGCGAAUACCGGAGAAUGUUAUCACGGGAGACACACGGCGGGUGCUAACGUCCGUCGUGAAGAGGGAAACAACCCAGACCGCCAGCUAAGGUCCCAAAGUCAUGGUUAAGUGGGAAACGAUGUGGGAAGGCCCAGACAGCCAGGAUGUUGGCUUAGAAGCAGCCAUCAUUUAAAGAAAGCGUAAUAGCUCACUGGUCGAGUCGGCCUGCGCGGAAGAUGUAACGGGGCUAAACCAUGCACCGAAGCUGCGGCAGCGACGCUGAUGCGUUGUUGGGUAGGGGAGCGUUCUGUAAGCCUGCGAAGGUGUGCUGUGAGGCAUGCUGGAGGUAUCAGAAGUGCGAAUGCUGACAUAAGUAACGAUAAAGCGGGUGAAAAGCCCGCUCGCCGGAAGACCAAGGGUUCCUGUCCAACGUUAAUCGGGGCAGGGUGAGUCGACCCCUAAGGCGAGGCCGAAAGGCGUAGUCGAUGGGAAACAGGUUAAUAUUCCUGUACUUGGUGUUACUGCGAAGGGGGGACGGAGAAGGCUAUGUUGGCCGGGCGACGGUUGUCCCGGUUUAAGCGUGUAGGCUGGUUUUCCAGGCAAAUCCGGAAAAUCAAGGCUGAGGCGUGAUGACGAGGCACUACGGUGCUGAAGCAACAAAUGCCCUGCUUCCAGGAAAAGCCUCUAAGCAUCAGGUAACAUCAAAUCGUACCCCAAACCGACACAGGUGGUCAGGUAGAGAAUACCAAGGCGCUUGAGAGAACUCGGGUGAAGGAACUAGGCAAAAUGGUGCCGUAACUUCGGGAGAAGGCACGCUGAUAUGUAGGUGAAGCGACUUGCUCGUGGAGCUGAAAUCAGUCGAAGAUACCAGCUGGCUGCAACUGUUUAUUAAAAACACAGCACUGUGCAAACACGAAAGUGGACGUAUACGGUGUGACGCCUGCCCGGUGCCGGAAGGUUAAUUGAUGGGGUUAGCGCAAGCGAAGCUCUUGAUCGAAGCCCCGGUAAACGGCGGCCGUAACUAUAACGGUCCUAAGGUAGCGAAAUUCCUUGUCGGGUAAGUUCCGACCUGCACGAAUGGCGUAAUGAUGGCCAGGCUGUCUCCACCCGAGACUCAGUGAAAUUGAACUCGCUGUGAAGAUGCAGUGUACCCGCGGCAAGACGGAAAGACCCCGUGAACCUUUACUAUAGCUUGACACUGAACAUUGAGCCUUGAUGUGUAGGAUAGGUGGGAGGCUUUGAAGUGUGGACGCCAGUCUGCAUGGAGCCGACCUUGAAAUACCACCCUUU
rnacentral:rRNA from 1 species